CCUUCUUUCCGAGCAGCCCAAGGUGAGUGGAGGCGGUGUGCGCGGCUCGGCUCCUCGUUUGAGCUUCGCAAUCCGAAGCCAUCGGCCCCUUUGCCGUGGACAAAAGUUCCGAUUUUACUGCGCGAUGGAGAGUGGCCCUUGCAGCGGACGCAGUUAGCUAGUCGGCGUCCGUGCAAUGCGUUUUGUUUCGCGGUUAGAGCCGCGUUCUUUGUGUUCGGCUGUUCGCGUUACGGGGACACGUGUUGGAGCGUCUGCGCAGUGAACUUCUGGGUGGUGGUGGUGGUGAUGGGGCAUAUCCAUCUUGCGCUGGUAUUACGAUAUCGAUGUAUCUUUCUUACGUUGCGUAGCAAUAUCGAUAUUUAAUUUGCCGAGUUUGUGUUUUUGUAAGGGCUCUUGGUUACUAAGCUAAUGUGGUGUGUGAAGGGAACGUCUUACAGUAUUCGAUUGCUGGCGCAUUGCCCAUAACCCCACCCUAAAGGAUUAAGUUAGAAAUGUGUGUGAUUGUUAGAGAUUAUUCUUUUCUCGCGUGCGUUUGCCGUGGUGUCCAGUCGACCCACCACUGGAUCCUUGAUGAAUUAAUAUUUAUCUGAUUAGCACAAGUUGGUGUGUGUAGUUUUUUUUACAUUUUUCGGGUACUGCAAAACAAAAGCUCAACAUUCAUGGAAAUAUCUCCCCUCUUUGAGAUGGGCCCAUGGUUCGUGAGUUGUUAUCGAGGCGGGUGUGGGAUGAUGAUGAAUCUUAACAUAAAUCUUCCUGAGGACUUGUUGCUUCCAAAGAUGACAACAAUCGCUCCACUCUGACUGCACCCGCCGUCGUCUUAACCCCUCUGAACUCUUGGUUCUUUCGGUAAAGUCACGUACAAUCGAAGGAAAAUAAUAAAAUAAUAAAGAUAAAAUAACGUGGUUGGGGGGGGGACCAUCUUCCCAGCAGUUCCAAGGCGCGAUAAACAUUUCUGAGUAAGACACAAAUUUGGGUUUUUUAAACCCACGUGUCUGUACAAAGUCGCUCUCAAUGCCUCCACAUUUUCUGCCACUUUUUCCAAUUUUCGUUGGAAUUGGCUUCACCAAUUCCUGUGGCUUUACAGUCCCAAGGAAUUGUGUGAAGUUAACAUUGAAGCCCCCCCCGUGACACGUUUUAUUCCUCUGCAGUUGGGCUAUUGUAGAUAUUUCUUUGGAGAUUCUGCUCGACUGAACGCAAGUUAAUGCAGUUGGCAGCUAGGUUUGACAAAACCCAUUUAUUUUUCAGGGAAGUAAUCGUAAAAUGUGGACCAUGCUGUUAAUGGCUUUUGUUGUGCAUGAUUGUCCCGGAGUCUUUAACAUUCACUUCACAAGUAAUACUCCACUUUACAAUCGGUGAUCUUCCACAAGAUUACUGGUUGCAGCUGCAAUUUCGUUAAUGCAUUUGAAAAUAAAAUCUACCCUUACAGUCAGCAAUUUCUCGUUUCUUAAGCGUGGAUCUGAUUGCGUAACUACUGAACAUAAGUGUAUAGUUUAAGUGUGUGCGUUUUUGCCGUUUUCUCACCAUCCCUUCAGUCACAAGGCCAUAAUGGAGAAGCUUUGGACAGAAAACAACCAUUGGAUUGGGGCACGUGGUGAACGUGAAGGGAACCGACGUCCACACUUCACAGUGGCAUCUGUGCUUUGAAGUGGAUGCCACGUGGCACGAGGUGUAAGAUGGAGAAUGUGUAUGAAGAUUACUGGAGUAUGAGAGGGUGGUUCCGAGCCAGUGCUGUGGCUGUGAUGGCGCUCUGCUCACAGUUCCUGAAGGGUGGCCUGGGUUGGGAGUUCUGGGUGUCCACGCAAGAUGAAAAACAGGUUGUCAAGCGUGGCCACUUGGUCGUCUCAGGGCUGCACAAAGAUAUGAAUGUGGUUUUACUUUUAUCAUAUUCUGUCAGAUGCCGCUAUGAGGUGUGUUAUCAACAGAACGUGUCCCUGGUGUAAAUCUCUCAAGGGUUCUGACCUUUUUUUACCCAUAUCCCUUUGCUCAUACCGUUGCCGUGACGGGAAUAUGGUUUUGGUCAUUUCAAAGUGAAUUAUUAGCGACUGGUUUGAAACGUGAUUUUCAAAACCCGAGGAGCAAAAGCUGCGGUGACAUGUAUUGCGCCAUGUGGAGGAACAACCUGUUGACCUCGUCUGUGGAGGGAAAUAUCUGGUGGAUAAUUGGCUUGCUGACAACGCUGUUGGCGUGCUGGUGUGGAAAUUUGUAAAAAUGUUAACUUUCAUUGGCACUGCCUUGUAACAGAUUUAUAGCGGCCUAACUGGAUGGAAAUGCACUUGAGUUACCAAAAAAGUUCCCCUUGAAGGAAAGGUUGAUGGAUAAAUAUCUACGUUAACUUAUCAAUGUAUGAACUAAAUUGAGUAAAUUCUGUAAAAUGCAUAUUGAAAAUACUGUAAUUUAUUUUGCAACUUGUGGAGCAUCCCGCAGUUGUUUUGCACUUGCUGUAUUUAUGAUAAACUACAUGUGAAUUAAAUUGUUUUUCUUGUGAAUUGUGUAAUAAAAAGCAACACUGAAAUGAA